UAAAUAUAGUUAAACUUAAAUAACAAUAUCUCUUCCUUAAAUAUAGUUAAUAAUAACUAAUAGAUACCAAUCACACCACUAUUUUUAACCAUUUUUCACACCACUAUUCUCUCUUUAAUCAUUUUUCCUCCAUUUUUAAACAAUUCGGUUUCUUUUUUCACCUUAUAUACAUUCAUUUUUUUUUCUAUCAGAAAUUAUUAUUUCAAUAAAAAGCUUCCAUAAGUUGUUGUUGUUUCAUACAAUGUUUGAAUAUUUUUAUUGAUAAAAAACGUUCAAUAAUCUGCAAAUAAUAAAAAAAUGAGACACACAAAUAUGAAUUGUGUUAAUUUGCGCUCAAUCAUGAUAUAUCAUGGAGGAAGAUGGGAUGCCUCAGGUAUACUUAAAGAUUUUUCUAUAGAUGAAAUUAUGUGUGAAGCAAAUACCAAGUGUAAAGAAUUGCUAAAUGCAAUAGCAAAACAACUCAAGAUCGACAUUAAUUUAAUUCAAAUUUGAGAUUAAGUUCUUGAUUGAUAGAUUUCCACCAAUGAUCAUACACAAUGAUACAGGAGUUAUGAUGUAUCUAGAUCGAAAAAAGACUGUUAUAAAUAAUCAUACAUAAUGAUAAAGUCAUGUUAAACUUUUGUUAUGUU